UUUCCGGCUCUGCUUUGUAGAGGACUUGGUGUCGAUGCGGCCCCGCCGUUCAACAUGCAUCAGGUGCACUCUUCCUUCCUGUGGCUUCAGUACAGAUUUGCUGCCAAAUGGGGAGACUUGGAGUUUCUGCCCAAGGAUUUGAAUCCUGCACUUCAGAUAAAUGCAGAAGGAACAUCACCUAAGAAAGCACUGGGAGGUUAACCUGUUACAAAGCUGCCCUGGACAGAGGAGCCCCAUGCCUCUUGCAUGAGAAACUAUUUCAGCUGUUACUGAUGUUGGUGAAGACAAGGUUUCCCUAAUUAGAGGCUUGCAGAUGUUUCUCAUUGUGAGGUGUGGAACUGAGAAGUGAUGCACCUGGUAGUGCUGCUAGCAAAAGGUGAAGCUUGCAUGGAGUUUAAGAAACAAGAUGGAUGUGUAUGAGGAAGGGACUGUGCUGUCUGCAGCUCACUGGGCAACUCUGAAACUAGUGUAUGAAGAAUUGAGAAGGUGGAAGAUUGCUGAUGAAUGGGUUAUACUUGCAUGAACAGCCUUAAAGAUGUGUGUUUAUGCCAUUGGUAAUGUUUGCCUGAUGCUGGUUGGAGCCAAUAAAAAUGUGCAAACUCUA